AAAAGAUGAACUAAAAGAAGAUUAAGGAAGUCAGAAAUGCUAAAUGAGACCAGAUCAAAUAUAUCCUUUGGCCCGAACUUGAAAACACUUAGGGAACAGAAAGUUCCAUUUAUAAGAUGUUACCCUCAUAUGGAGCCUACAAACAAGUACCUCUAUAAAUAUACCUGCCAGGAUUAAAGCUAAAGGAACUGGAUCCUGUUGCUGUUCU